rnacentral:rRNA from 1 species
UACGUAGGCAGCGAGCGUUGUUCGGAGUUACUGGGCGUAAAGGGUGUGUAGGCGGUUCUUUAAGUUUGGUGUGAAGUCUCCCGGCUCAACCGGGAGGGUGCGCCGAAUACUGAGGGACUCGAGUGCAGGAGAGGAAAGUGGAAUUCCUGGUGUAGCGGUGAAAUGCGUAGAUAUCUGGAGGAAUACCGGUGGCGAAGGCGGCAUCCUGGACCGACAUUGACGCUGAACGGCGAAAGCUAGGGGAGCAAACGGG